rnacentral:ncRNA from 1 species
UACCAUGUUGGGCAAGCUUUCCGAAAGGAAAUGCGCGCAAAGCAAUGGGUCUAAGGCCCUUCUUUGAGGGCUAUGACUGCCAUGCUGCAGAU